CUAUUGAGGGUUCAGUGGUAGAAUUCUUGCCUUCCAUGCAGGAGACCUGGGUUUGAUUCCCAGUCAAUGCG
rnacentral:tRNA from 1 species